CUUGGUCAUUUAGAGGAAGUAAAAGUCGUAACAAGGUUUCCGUAGGUGAACCUGCGGAAGGAUCAUUAUUGAAAUAAACCUGAUAGGUUGCUGCUGGUUCUCUAGGGAGCAUGUGCACACUUGUCAUCUUUAUAUCUCCACCUGUGCACCUUUUGUAGACCUGGAUAUCUUUCUGAAUGCCCCCUAGCAUUCAGGUUUGAGGAUUGACUAUCGAGUCUUUCCUUACAUUUUCAGGCCUAUGUUUCUUCAUAUACCCCAUGUAUGUUAUAGAAUGUAAUAAGAGGGCCUUUGUGCCUAUAAACUUAUACAACUUUCAGCAACGGAUCUCUUGGCUCUCGCAUCGAUGAAGAACGCAGCGAAAUGCGAUAAGUAAUGUGAAUUGCAGAAUUCAGUGAAUCAUCGAAUCUUUGAACGCACCUUGCGCUCCUUGGUAUUCCGAGGAGCAUGCCUGUUUGAGUGUCAUUAAUAUAUCAACCUCCUCAGCUUUUGCUUGUUGGAGUGUUGGAUGUGGGGGUUUUUUUGCUGGUCUCUUUCUGAGGUCAGCUCCCCUGAAAUGCAUUAGCGGAACAAUUUGUUGACCGUUCAUUGGUGUGAUAACUAUCUACGCUAUUGACGUGAAGCAGUCAGUCUUCAGCUUCUAAUAGUCCAUUUGGACAAUUUUUCAUUAAUGUGACCUCAAAUCAGGUAGGACUACCCGCUGAACUUAAGCAUAUCAAUAA
rnacentral:rRNA from 1 species